UGGGGGGGCGAAGUGCGGCCCAGGUGGGAAGGGCUGUUCCUUCUGACCCAGCGAGAGCUUCCCUGCCUCCUCGAAUGCCCAGUUUCUGAGUCCAGCACCCCCACACACCAAAAAAGGGAGGGCGAGGAUAGAUUUCUGAAUCAGAAUCUGGGCAGCGUUAAAAAAAAAAAAAAUUAACUAUAAAAUGGGAAGUACCCCCAAAACCAGGGGGAAAGAGCUCUGAUUAGUCAACUCCAGGCUCUCAAGCCCCCCCCCACCACCACCACCCCCUUCCUCCUCCGAAAUCUGAAAGGUCCCAAUUAAGUCAGGCCUGCCUGGUUGGUAAUUAGAACCAGAAGUGGCCAGGCCACAGAGAGGGGGGUUGGGAAUGGGGCACAGGAGGGGGGGCUGGAGGGCUCCAGGAAGUCAUGAGUCUUCAGUAGCCCCCCUUUCUCUUCACCAGAUGCACCCCACUCCUCGUCACCCCAUCUGUGUGUUUCCCAGGCACUGCAGGGAGAGGGGGCCUUAGAAGGGAGGAGGCAGGACAGUGCCAGGCCCGCCCUUCCCGACAACCCCAACCCCCCCAUUCUAGCCGGUCUUAGUACAGCCUUGAGGAGAAGAAAGGUGAAGAGGGGGCUUGUCAAAGCAAGAAGCCCCACCCCAAGGGCCCCUGGAGAACCCCAAGAGGUGAAGCAAGCUUUCCCUUCUCAACGUGGAUGUCUCCAAGGUGCUAGGGACCCAGCAGUAGGAUCCAGGAGGCAGCCUCAGGGAGAAGUUCCAGACUCCUUCAUGGACCACCCUCCCUCCCAUAGACUAAGGGAGGGGGGGUGAAGAGAGAGACACAGACUCAAGACACGCCACGGGCCGGUCUCACCGAGCACCAGACACACCGUCAGCAGCCCUAUUAAAUGUCGCCUCCUCACACUGACUCUUUGUUGCGCGCACUGGAAUUCCGUGCGUGCGGGGAGAGUCUCGAGGACAUGCUGGACGUACGCAACUGCACGUGGUCUGCACACACGGGCGCGCACACACACCUUCUCCAGACGAGCACACUCUUUCCAGCAGAACGGCCAGCCCCAUCUGGUCACCCCCUCACACACCCACACAGCCCCCUGAGUGCCCCCCCCAAAGGCACGGCCCCCUUUCUCCCACCUCUUUCUCCCUGAGCUCCUGGAGCUCUAAAGGAUGUCUGUCUUUUUAUCUCCCUGUCUCUACGCCUCUGGUUUUCUGCCCUUCUCUGUGCCUCUCCUUUUAUCACCUCCCCUUCUUUCCAGGUGAGGACUCUCUACACCUGCUCACAUGCUGCCCCUUUGCCCCGCAGGACCCAGCGGCCUGGCCCUCUAGGUCAUGGGCACCCAGGCCUGGAAUGGCUGGGUCAGGAAGACCAACUACGAAGUAGGAGGAAAGGGGAUCCAGAGGGAAGAGGAGAGGCCUAAGGCUUGUCUGCUGUCAGCACUCAAAGGCUUAACCCGGAGAGGGCAGGCCUGAGGAACAAGUAGGGAUCUGCACAGCACGUGGGCACCAUGCCAGACCCAGAGGGAGGGGAGGAGUCGAAAACCCACAUUGCUGGAGGAGAGGAUGCUUCUGGAACACCCCCUGCACCUCCCCCAGACUACUUCUGGUGCAAGAGCUACUACCUUCUCUGCAGCCCCGUCCACCCUCCCCGGCACCAGCAGGAGGGUUCCCUGACCCCACACGUCUUUGGGCACCUGGCACUAUUUCAUUUGCUUCUUGUGCUGCCUGUCUCUAACUCAGAACAAUUUCACCUCUGGAUGUCAGGCGGCUGACUGACCUCCCAGACUCCUCCACUGCCCCAGCUGCUUCCCCAGACCCACGGCGGCACGCAGCCUCAGACUUCACCAGGCCCACCCUUGGCUGCCCAUACAAAGCCUUCCCCCUGCCGUUGACUCAGGAGGCCACUGUGGCCACGACACUGUAGGCACGUUGGGCAGGAGAACUCUCAUUUGCAAACCAGUCCAAACCGCCUCCUGCAACUCCUGUCACCUACUCCGUUAGAUCAGACCCCCGACCCCGCCAGCCGUGCUAACCGGGUACCACCAACUUUUCUAUAGCAUCCACCCUCUACAAUGGCCUACUGUUUCCACCUGCCCUCAUCCCCCAAGGACCCGGAGACUCACACAGAGAGGCCAUCUCCUUGGGGAGGUCAGGCUGGCCCAGGCCCCGGAAGCUGGGACUCAGCAUCUCGAAAGGUGGAGACCCCCUGAGAGCCCCUGGGAAGGCAAAGGGGAAGCCAGCCCCUGGGUAGCCAGAUCCAGGCCCCAGGGCACCAGCCGCAAAGAGUCGCUCCUUAUUGGUGGCCAUGGCAGCUGCGGUGAGGGAGGCCGAAUCCCCGGGGGUCUGCAGCGGGCGGGGGAGGUCUUCAGCCGCAGCCCCCGCCCAUGCCCACUGCCCCAGCCUGGGAGGCUCCGUGCCCGUCCUUCCUGGCCUGCCCACUGGGCCUCCAAGAGUCCUAGGGAGAAAGAGACGAAAGGGAGGGAUAAGAGAGCGGUCACCCUAAGGCCCCGAGCCCCGGCCCUCUCCCCCUUGGAGCCUUUUCCCUCCAGGCUUCUAAGAUCUGUGCUGCCCUGGCCCAGGGGCCUCCACCACAUGGCAGGAAGGGGAAGGAGCUUAGGCAGGUUGAGAAAAACUCUCCAGGGAAGGGGAAACUAG